rnacentral:rRNA from 1 species
GACGAACGCUGGCGGCGUGCUUAACACAUGCAAGUCGAACGGAAAGGCCCUGCUUUUGUGGGGUGCUCGAGUGGCGAACGGGUGAGUAACACGUGAGUAACCUGCCCUUGACUUUGGGAUAACUUCAGGAAACUGGGGCUAAUACCGGAUAGGAGCUCCUGCUGCAUGGUGGGGGUUGGAAAGUUUCGGCGGUUGGGGAUGGACUCGCGGCUUAUCAGCUUGUUGGUGGGGUAGUGGCUUACCAAGGCUUUGACGGGUAGCCGGCCUGAGAGGGUGACCGGCCACCUGGGGACUGAGAUACGGCCCAGACUCCUACGGGAGGCAGAAGUGGGGAAUAUUGCACAAUGGGCGGAAGCCUGAUGCAGCAACGCCGCGUGCGGGAUGACGGCCUUCGGGUUGUAAACCGCUUUCGCCUGUGACGAAGCGUGAGUGACGGUAAUGGGUAAAGAAGCACCGGCUAACUACGUG